rnacentral:rRNA from 1 species
UACGGAGGGGACUAGCGUUGUUCGGAAUUACUGGGCGCAAAGCGCACGUAGGCGGAUUUGUAAGUCAGGGGUGAAAUCCCGGGGCUCAACCUCGGAACUGCCUUUGAUACUGCAAAUCUCGAGUCCGGAAGAGGUGAGUGGAAUUCCUAGUGUAGAGGUGAAAUUCGUAGAUAUUAGGAAGAACACCAGUGGCGAAGGCGGCUCACUGGUCCGGUACUGACGCUGAGGUGCGAAAGCGUGGGGAGCAAACAGG